AUACCGCCUUGAAGAAUUUUUGAGUCGAUUGAAUCGAUACAGGUAUUUAUAUUUUGUAAAGAUUGGUUCUUAUUCUACCGUUGUCUUUUGCCUAACCGCUACGUUAUGGGAACGUAAACACACCAACACCAAUCGUCAGGCAGUAUUGGGGGACAUACAGACACACACAAUGAUGUAAGCACACAUACACAUAUAUAUGUGUAUGAUGGGCUUCUCUAAUUUUCCGUCUACUAAAUGUACACACAAGGCUUUGGUCGGCCAGAGGCUACAGAAGAUACCCUAUGUUCCACGCAGUGGAACUGAAACCGAAAUCCUUGGUUGGGAAGCAAAAUUCAUAUCACACAGCCACGCCCGUACUUAUCAAUAAUUAAUCAAGAAAAUAAAUAUUUAAUAAUAUCGCUAAUGAAUUACUUUUAAUAUCUUAAGAACUCUAAAAUAAAAUAAAUACAAUUACAAAAUGAGAUUCAGACGAUAAAAUAAUUUAUUUGUGUCUUCUUCACAAUCUAAACAAAUUCUAUAUUUUAAAGAACUACAGUUCAACCCGCAACCAACGGCUUUUAAUUUACACAUCCAUCAGUGUUAAGUACUUUCCAAAAAGAAGGAAAACCUACUUUGUUUACCCACUUCCUUAAUAAUUAUUUGACUAUCAUUAGAAAGCAGAAUAUAUUAUUAGAUAUUGGUUUCAAACUUUGAUAUAAGGCCAGCAGCUUCGGGGGUGGGUGAGGGUGGUAAGUGGAUGACGUUGCCCACAGAGUUCAACUUGGACUUAUUUCAUCGACCCCCACGAAAGGGAUGAAAGGCAAAGUCAAUCUUGGCGGAAUUUGAACUCAGAAGGCCAAGACAGACAACUGUGCCACGUGUUAACGAUUCUGCCAACUCGCUGCCUUAGAAUAUAUUUAUUUCUUUAUUGCCCAAAUGGGUGGGGUGUAAACAUAGAGGUGAGAAACAAGGGAUUAAGUCGAUUACAUCGACCCCAGUGCGUAACUGGUAUUUAUUUAAUCGACCCCGAAAGGAUGAAAGGCAAAGUCAAACCUCGGCGGAAUUUGAACUCAGAACGCCAAGACGGACAAAAUGCCGCUAGGCAUUUGGUGCGACGUGCUAACGUUUCUGCCAGCUCGCUGCCUUAGAAUAUAUUAUAAAUAUUGAUGACGUGUGAUUGGCCAUCCUUUGGCACGAAGUUUAUAUAUUUUCAUAGUAAAUAUAAAUAGAUAAAUGAAAUAAAUAAAUAUAUUUGUCACAUACCUGUGAUAAAUAUAAGAAAUAGAGAUAGAUAAAAUAAAUAAAUAAAUAAAUCUAUAUAAAGGGUAUCGAUACAAACAACAUAAGAAGUGAACCCGUAUACACACACAAACACACGCACAAUAACUUCACAGACGGCUGCAACAAUAUCAACAACACGACUAACAACGACAGCAUCAGCGGCGGUAACAACGAUGGCAAUAACAACAACAACAGCUAUUAUCACGAUGGCAACACCGUUGGCGAACACACAAACACAGAGAGAUACAGGAACUGUACCAAAUGUUCUGAUCCUAGAACAGCAGUAACACAAUAGAGUGAGAGGAUGGCGCUGAAGGGAAGGCCAUACUGCUGCAAAGAACAAUGACACACACAAAAACAAACACACACACGCAUAUACACACAUGCGCGCGCGUCUGUUUCAAAUAAGAUAAGACAACAAAGCCAAGGCAGUGUGGAAUUUUCAGGACAUUUUCAAAAUGUAGCCACACGCAAAUCGUUGGCGAUUUUUUCCCCUCCGUCUUCCUUUUCUGAAGAAAAGCUUUGCUCCAAACGUAAAACCACCUUUCUUUCCUUCCCUGAGCAUCUGAUAAUACUUUACAUGUACCAUGUCCUCGCAUUGUUGUUUUUUGUGUUUGUUCUUCGUUUUUUUGGGGUGAUUUACUACACACACACACACACACACACACACACACACUCACACACAAACUCACACACCCAAUAUACAUAUUUUACGUUGUUCUCAAUAUUUAGUCCUUGUACGUUCAAUGCAUCGGUGAUGUUUGAUAUCAUUACCGCACUCAAAAGUUCACUACCAUUGAAUAUAAAGGCCUUACACUCCAAACGUCCCGAAACGGUGCUGAUUCUAUUCCCAGUUGAAACCAAUAUGUUCUUUUCCACUAAUCGUUUCCUCGUUUCAUUUCAAUUUUCAUUCUACACACACACAUAUAUAUAUGCAUGUGUGUGUGUGUGUGUGUGUGUGUGAAGCAAAACCAUACCUCUAUCGCUUUUUUAUAUUCGUGAAUAAAUCACAACAAUUUGUUUACAUACUCAGGCAAUAAAUAAAGGAAAUGUCUAUGCGCAUCGUAAGAAACUCUAAACCGCAGUGAAAAAAAAAUAGAAACCAGUUCUUUUUCAAGUAAACAUGUUAUAUUACGUCGUAAGAAAAAACUGGUGAAAUAGCUGUACUGAAUAAUCUAUAAAAAACAAAGUAACACUAAGGCAUAUAUCUAAGAAAUUCAGAACGUGUAUACAAUGACAA
rnacentral:lncRNA from 1 species